UAGGGAAGAAACCACAAAGGAAGCAAGGGAAAAAGAGAGGACAGAUAGAUCCUAAGCAAUUCAUGGCGAGAGGGAUUAGAGAUUGUUUCUGCCAAGUGCUUCGUGUGCUGAAGCCAUCACUGUUUGCGGAGGAGGACAAGAUUGACGAGGAAGUCACAUGGGCAAAAGUUCAUGUGCAAUCUGACACGGACUCUUGUGGGGU